rnacentral:rRNA from 1 species
GAUGAACGCUGGCGGCGUGCUUAACACAUGCAAGUCGAACGGUGAAAGAGGGAGCUUGCUCCUUCUGGAUCAGUGGCGAACGGGUGAGUAACACGUGAGUAACCUGCCCUUGACUCUGGGAUAAGCGUUGGAAACGACGUCUAAUACCGGAUACGAGCUUCAGCCGCAUGGCUAGGAGCUGGAAAGAACUUCGGUCAAGGAUGGACUCGCGGCCUAUCAGCUUGUUGGUGAGGUGAUGGCUCACCAAGGCGACGACGGGUAGCCGGCCUGAGAGGGUGACCGGCCACACUGGGACUGAGACACGGCCCAGACUCCUACGGGAGGCAGCAGUGGGGAAUAUUGCACAAUGGGCGCAAGCCUGAUGCAGCAACGCCGCGUGAGGGACGACGGCCUUCGGGUUGUAAACCUCUUUUAGUAGGGAAGAAGCGAAAGUGACGGUACCUGCAGAAAAAGCACCGGCUAACUACGUGCCAGCAGCCGCGGUAAGAC